rnacentral:rRNA from 1 species
UACGUAGGGUGCAAGCGUUAAUCGGAAUUACUGGGCGUAAAGCGUGCGCAGGCGGUUCGCUAAGACAGAUGUGAAAUCCCCGGGCUUAACCUGGGAAUUGCGUCCGAAACUAUGGAGCUGGAGUGUGGCAGAGGGAGGUGGAAUUCCACGUGUAGCGGUGAAAUGCGUAGAGAUGUGGAGGAACACCGAUGGCGAAGGCAGCCUCCUGGGCCAACACUGACGCUCAUGCACGAAAGCGUGGGGAGCAAACAGG